UUUUUUACUGCAAGAAAUAUGUCGAGAAGCAAGAAGGAAAUUGGAGGAUUUUUUAUCAAUUUCACAUUUAUUUGAAGGUAAUAUGCUUUAUUUAAUAUCAAUCCUUGUAGUAGAGUACCUUAGAUUGCCAAUGUAGAUGGAAAUUUAGGACAAAAUGCGAUAUUUCGGCAUAAAGUUUGUGCUUUUGCUUUGCACGUGGUUCGCUUUAAUAUGGGCGAUUGUCGAACUUUAAACCGUGUUUUAGUUCGUAAUUAUUGUUUAAUACUAUUGACCAAGUGAGUAAAAAGACUAACUAAGAUCUAGAAUUGUUUAAGUUGUCGAAAAAAGUUGUGAUCUCAGAGUUCGUGCCGAAAAUUUUUAUAUUAAAUGCUGUAUAUCGAGACGACUAGGCGCUUGGUGGGACGAAUAUUCUAUACUUUCACCAGCUUGUAGAUUUCAAUCUUGCGACAAAAUGUUUCAGCAAUAUGGUGUUUUUGUUCAGUUAUUUGCAGGAAAAAACCUUGCUUUAGCAACAUUACAACGUGUUUGAUUCUUGCUUUUAAAACAAAAAAUUGAAAAUAAAAAUAGAAUUUAAUUCAUUUAAAAAUAAAAGUGAAAAUUAUGAUGUUUGUGAUGUUACUCUGAGUGUAUUUCCACACCGGGCAAGCUUGAAAAAUAUGCCCAGCCACGGUGGGAAUCGAACCUACGACCUUACAAACCUAUGACCCUACGACCAAUCGAACCUACGACCGCGUAGCUCAGUUGGCAGAGCAUUGGGCUAGUAUUCCAAAAGGUCAUAGGUUCGAUUCCCACCGUGGCCGGGCAUAUUUUUUAAGCUCGCCCAGUGUGGAAAUACACUCAGAGUAACAUCACAAACAUCAAAUUAUUCACCUGAGUACACAACACCACACAGAAAAAAAAAUUCAAAAGUGAAAAUUGCUACAAUAAGGCAAAAUCCAGAAUUGUGUUUCUUGACGUCACUGCAGACUGGUGUAAAUUUUGAUGAAAGGGUAGGAGGUGCGGUCAUAGAUAAUGGUGGCUUCUCGGCAAGCAGGCUAGUAAGAUUAAUUAAGUUCAUAGGCCCGAGGGUGGUUUGAUAAGAAGAUUGUUCUUCUGAAGCACAUCUACGCCGGGCUCAAAAAUAUGCACCUGUACCAGUGUAAAGCUUCUUUUCGACAUGGGCUGGCAAGGAUUCAGAGAAUGUUAAAAAAAUAAAAAGCACACUCGUCAGGGGGAGAGUGCUGCCACUCGAUGGGUUAAUCUGACUAUCUGCCCAUGCACCCUGUUAAACCUUUAAGUGGCAAUGUGCCCAACUUUAUUAUUUUCUCUGUCUAACACCAGACAAUUUUACUCAUCAGAGGGAGAUUAAUGUCACUCAGAAACAGUAACAAAUGGGUUUAUUAGCAUGACUUUACAUACAAUUAUUGCUAAAGCUUAUAAGUUAGUAUGAUUAUAAAUAUUUACAAAUGCAAAAUAUUUUGUCGUAGUAUGACAUAGGCCUGUUUUAUAUGUUGAAUUUCGUUUGCAUCGAAUGCAAUUCAAACAAUAGAUAAUGAAGCUUAAUGAGGUUUACCAUCUCAUUAUCUAUUGUCCUAAUUGCACCCGACGUGACCAAAAUUUGACGCAUAAAACAGGCCAUAGUGUCAGUAUUGAGUAAUACAAGAAAUGAAAUGAAGUUAUUGAUAUAGAGAUAGCUACCUAUAGUUUACAAAUGAGUACUCUAUUUACAGUAUAUAAUUAAAGAAGUUUUAGUUAGACAGCCUAUUGACUGUCAGCAUUCCGAGCUUCAAGGCAUUUAGAUCUCUUCUCAAAACAUAAAGAGAUAAAUUUCGAGGAUUUUAUUACAGUUUCUUUAAUCAGCUGAUUUCAUUAUCUCAUGUCUUCAUUUAAAUCUGUUUCAUUGGUGGAAUCACUUUCCAAGUCAUUUAAAAGGUUUUCUCGAAGACUACUAUAGACUUCACAGGAAGUUAGGAAGUGAUGUUCCAUUUCAAAUUUUCCUAACUGGCAGACCUUGCAUAUUCUGUGUAUUAUUGGUAGACCUUGCAUAUUCCACUCAAUGGGUUAAAUAACUAUAGGGAGCCACCUUUAAAGCAUAUUAACUUGAUUUACCGGUACAACAGACACCUGGAGUCAAAAUUAAGUUGAAAUGCAAAAAAUAUGUUGUCGUUCAGGUUUCAUAUCCUGAAAAAAAGUAGGAUACGUAGGUUUUUUGCUUGACAUUGGCCAGCAAUUGCCAUGAUCAGUUGGCAUAAUGCCACAACAUAUAAACAUUUCAAGAAACAAUAACUGUACCGGGCAACAGACAAUAUUUUUGGCAUCAAGUUACAUCAUAAAGCAAACAACAGAAAAUAGCAUAGACGGAUUUUGUGGGGGGUGCUACCCCCCCCCAAUAUUAGCUAUAACCCCCCCAAACAAAAUGUCCACCCCUCCAAAAAAAUUUUCAACCCCCCCAAUAUUCGGCAUAAUAAAAAAUAAUUAAAUAAUCCACUCCAACGUGCAGAGUGUUGAUGAUACAAAAUAAACGUAGGAGUACACUCAAAUAGAAAGCAAUAUUAUUGGAGCAAUUGUAAAGUUUUGAAACUCUAUUAUCUCCCCUGAAUAGAGUUUGCAGUGCCUUGUCAUGCAAAUAGCUUGCUUGCAAGGAACGUUUGGAAUUUUUACAAACAUUAUUUUUCGUUUUUAAUUCUUUUAGGUUUGUAAUUCGUUUUUAAUUCUUUUUAAUUUUUUAAUUCGUUUAUAAAAGUAAAAGCAUAUUGUGUAUUGGCCUAUUGGGUUCACACUUUUACAGGUUCAUUUAACUUUAACUCUCUCAAGUCUCAACAGACAAUCGGACACAGGGCCGUAGCGAGGGGGUGUUGGGGGGGGGGGGGGGGUUAACCCCCCAACUUUUGCAACUUUUGUAGAAUUAACAUAUUUGGAAAAUCGGGUUGGCCAUUCGGAAAAUUACGGCAAUAAUAGUAUAACAAAAUUUUAAUUGUUUAAUUAAACAGAAAAAAUAUAAUAUUAUAAUCAGUAUAAAAUGAUUUACGAAAUCACGGCAUUUACAUGGAUAACGUUUAACAAAUAGUAAAUCGGUAAAAUUUUUUCGGUUUCAGUACUUCUCAGGGCCGUAGCAACUGGGGGGGAGGGGGGGGAGGCAGCACCCUUACAAUAAUUUGCUGAUAAUCAGUCUUUUUUCAAAAUCAUGCACACCUUUAUCAUUUAAACAAUUGAUUAAUUUUAAGCGGCUACAUUAUCCAUGACAAACCGCAAAGAAUUAUAUUACCCAUACUCUUUCCUGCAACUUCUCCAAUAUAUAGCUAAAUAUACGACUUCGCCCAUUUAAUUCUGCUAAAUUGUAAACAAAUUGUAAAUUUCGACAUACUAAAACUCUAUUAACAACUCAAACCGACUUUACCACGUAGUUCAGUUGGCAGAGCAUUGGACUAGCAUCCCAAAGGUCGCGGGUUUUAUUUCCACCGUGGGCAAGCUAACUUUUCAGCUUGCCCGGUGUGGAUCAGUGGAUGCCUACUCAGAGUAACAUCACAAACAUCAUAUUCACUUGAGUACACAACACCAACACACACACAUAAAUCAUAUCAAAGAUUACACUGAUGUCGAAGGAACUAGAUUCAGUUCCGAAAUAUCAACAAGUCGAACCGACUUGACCACGUAGCUCAGGUGGGAGAGCAUUGGACUAGUAUCCCAAAGGUUGCAGGUUCGACUCCCACCGUGGCCAGGCACACUUUUCAGCUUGCCCACUGUGGAUGCAUACUCAGAGUAACAUCACAAAUAUCAUAUUAAAACUUUGCUUUCUGACCAUCAGAAUUCUGUCAAAACUUCCCCCAAAGUCCAGGAAAUGGCAUUUUAGAGAAUCUAAAUUUAAAAAUUUCCUCGGGCCUUCGGCCCUCGUUCCCAGCCCCCAAGCAAAAAGAGCUUCCUACGGCACUGCAUACUUCUGUAAUAUGUCUUUGUGGAAACUAUGUGGGCUAUGUGUAUUUUUGUUUGUAAAUUGCGUCUUCAUUUUCCAGAUAGCAAACACCUUCGUUGCUUCGUAUGCCAUGAAAUAUUCGGAAAUUUUUUUCGUCAUUCGGAAAUAUUUGGACUACACCCCCACCCCCCAACUAUACAUGCUAGCUACGGCCCUGAUCGGACAGGCCAAAUCCAUUGAUAUGACAACUUCAAAAAACGUUUUUUCGAAGCUAGAAAUCAUGAUUUUUUUCAAAUUUUUCCAGGGAUACUUUGUUUUCUGCUCUCUAGACUCCCCCUUGCGGCUCUAGUGCUCCACCCCUAGAAUAUAGACCUUACUGGGGUUUGGUGACACUUUGUGUUGCUUCAGUCACCUGCUCACGGCUCACCCCCCUAAAAUUCUGGCACCACCCCAGUAAAAAAUAUGAAAAUCCGUCUAUGGAAAAUAGGGUAGGCAGGUAAGCGAACAACUCAUAAUCAACCACAUCUAGAAAAACAUUAGGGCAGAGAAAAAUGGGUUGUCUGGAAAGCCGGAACCACAUGAUAUUGUUUUGUUUCAGACUCUGGUGUUCAUAUUGAGUUUUUCAUCUUGUUAGCCAAGCUAUUCACAUCUUCAGUAAAAUUCUCAUUUUUUGUAGAUGGACAGUGCAAGUUUCAAGAAUGUCACAAGCCUCUUGAUCUCAUGAUUACAAAAAAUGGUCACAUUCCAAGAUCCUGAAUAAGAGGUAAAUUAUUUUUUUCUUCUAAUUAUUUCCAGGCCUUAAAAUAUCGGUCAGUCACGGACAUUGUCCGACCCAUUUGCGAAAUUGUCCGACUUAGAGGGGAAACCACCGGACAUUCUGUCUGUCCUAAGUGAAACUGAGGUUUAUUGUUUGUUUGACCUGAGUGUAUUGGUGUCAGACCGAACUGUAGCUUUGUCCAACGUGAAUCGAUCAAAAUGUACCCUAUCCCAGGACUAGAGGCUUGUAUGUUAAGUGGAAAAUUAGAGUACUAUUGUAUAAAGGGUGACCUGGAAAUGUUGUUUUAAUAUACUCAAAAGCGGGCUCGUAGUCUUUUUUAAUACUGCUGUUCUGGAAAGCGAGUUAAUUUUGGCUUGGAAAUAAGUAUGACUUCACAACAGUUACCGUUCAGAAUUAAUACAUUGUGCUGAUAUUCAUUUCUGCCAUUCAGACUUAUUUCCGAGUCAAAACUGAACUGAAGGUCAUCGGACAUAUGUUGGACCCUAACUCAACGUCGUCGGACAUUUUGUCAGACGGCCCUGUAAAACAUAUUUUAAUUAAGGCCUGUUAUUUCUGACCUUCUGAUUGUAUUUCUUGGACAAUUUUCUUUGUAAUAUAUUAAUUUGUUUCAUGUUCUCAAUAGUGAAUUUUUAAAAUUUUGUAGAUGUGUGUUGUAAGUUCCAACAAUGUCUCAACUUGCAAUUGGCUGAAGUGUUUUUGAUCACAAAAAUGAACACUGUCGUUGGAAAGUAUAUAAAAGGUUUUAAUAUUUUGCUUUCUUAUCUUACAUGAAAUGCUUUGAACAUUAAAUGAUUGCCUGUGAUCAAUAGUUUCAAAAAUCCCAGCAGAAUAUUGCCAAAAUAGCAUGACCAUGCAUCUUACUUAUAAUGACACAAAAUAGAACAAAAAUAAUAAGCACACAAUCUUCGCGUCUUAAUAUGGUGAGUGCACAACAAUUGCACUUUUUUAUUCUAUUAUUACACAACUAUUUUGACUUGUAUUAAUUUGGAAAAUUUCAGUUUUGUGGUUCCUUGAUUACUUGAUUAAGUUUUGUGUUGCCACCGAUCACAGAAAGUCUAUGAUUUUCAAAGCAUAUAAGCAUUUUAUGAGCAAGCCAGAAAAUGACAAACUGUCUGUAUUUUUAACAGUGAUGAUUCGGUUUGGACGUACAUUUUUUCUGUUUGGCAUAAUAGCUAAGUCUUAAAGUACAGAACGUAAAUUUGUGUUUAUCUGUGUUCUAUCUAAGAACAUAGUUGUUUCUACAUAUUUCCAAAGUUUUGUCAAAUAAAAAAUGAAAAGUUUGUCAUUAUUUGGCUUUGUUACAUCAAUUAAACAUUGAGAAGAUUGAGGUGGUUUUUUAUUAGAAACCAAAGCGGUUACUUACAAAUAAGACAAGUCAUGUGACUUUAUUAUUUUUAAUUCAGAAUUGAGUAUUUUCUUAGUCAUCUUUCAUGUUUCGGUUUGGGGUAUGUUUUCAUUAAAG
rnacentral:lncRNA from 1 species